rnacentral:misc_RNA from 1 species
GAGAACCAAGAGAUCCGUUGUUGAAAGUUUUGAAGAUUAAUUCAAAAUUUGACUAACUGUAAAAAUAAUUAAAUUGUGUUUUGUUAAACCUCUGGCCCAACCUAUCUCUAGGCCAAACCAAAGCAAGAGUUCUGUAUCAAAAAGACACUGUGUGUAAGGUUUUUCGCCGCGCAGUUAAGCGCUGGCAAAAGAAUACUGUAAUGAUCCUU